CUCUUAAGAGGAGAGAGGUUUGGGCGCAAGCUGUUCCCCAGUGCCUGUUCUGGUAUCUCCUCAG
rnacentral:miRNA from 1 species